UUUGACCUCGGAUCAGGUAGGGAUACCCGCUGAACUUAAGCAU
rnacentral:rRNA from 11 species